rnacentral:rRNA from 1 species
GACGAACGCUGGCGGCGUGCCUAAUACAUGCAGGUUGAGCGCUGAAGGUUGGUACUUGUACCAACUGGAUGAGCAGCGAACGGGUGAGUAACGCGUGGGGAAUCUGCCUUUGAGCGGGGGACAACAUUUGGAAACGAAUGCUAAUACCGCAUAAAAACUUUAAACACAAGUUUUAAGUUUGAAAGAUGCAAUUGCAUCACUCAAAGAUGAUCCCGCGUUGUAUUAGCUAGUUGGUGAGGUAAAGGCUCACCAAGGCGAUGAUACAUAGCCGACCUGAGAGGGUGAUCGGCCACAUUGGGACUGAGACACCGCCCAAACUCCUACGGGAAGCAGCAGUAGGGAAUCUUCGGCAAUGGACGAAAGUCUGACCGAGCAACGCCGCGUGAGUGAAGAAGGUUUUCGGAUCGUAAAACUCUGUUGGUAGAGAAGAACGUUGGUGAGAGUGGAAAGCUCAUCAAGUGACGGUAACUACCCAGAAAGGGACGGCUAACUACGUG